rnacentral:rRNA from 1 species
UACGUAGGUGGCAAGCGUUAUCCGGAUUUACUGGGUGUAAAGGGAGCGUAGGCGGUGCAGCAAGUCAGAAGUGAAAGCCCGGGGCUCAACUCCGGGACUGCUUUUGAAACUGUUGAACUAGAUUGCAGGAGAGGUAAGUGGAAUUCCUAGUGUAGCGGUGAAAUGCGUAGAUAUUAGGAGGAACACCAGUGGCGAAGGCGGCUUACUGGACUGUAAAUGACGCUGAGGCUCGAAAGCGUGGGGAGCAAACAGG